rnacentral:rRNA from 1 species
AUUGAACGCUGGCGGCAGGCUUAACACAUGCAAGUCGAGCGGGGUGAUGGUGCUUGCACUAUCACUUAGCGGCGGACGGGUGAGUAAUGCUCAGGAAUCUGCCUAUUAGUGGGGGACAACAUCUCGAAAGGGAUGCUAAUACCGCAUACGUCCGACGGGAGAAAGCAGGGGAUCACUUGUGACCUUGCGCUAAUAGAUGAGCCUAAGUCGGAUUAGCUAGUUGGUGGGGUAAAGGCCUACCAAGGCGACGAUCUGUAGCGGGUCUGAGAGGAUGAUCCGCCACACUGGGACUGAGACACGGCCCAGACUCCUACGGGAGGCAGCAGUGGGGAAUAUUGGACAAUGGGGGGAACCCUGAUCCAGCCAUGCCGCGUGUGUGAAGAAGGCCUUAUGGUUGUAAAGCACUUUAAGCGAGGAGGAGGCUCUUUUGGUUAAUACCCAAGAUGAGUGGACGUUACUCGCAGAAUAAGCACCGGCUAACUCUGUGCCAGCAGCCGCCGUAA